rnacentral:rRNA from 1 species
CGGUGCAUUAAUGCUGGUAUGAUCGCACCUGUCUGAAAGUGGAUUGGUAGAUUACUAAUGCAACAGUGCGAGUGCGCAGAAUAGUUUCAAUAACGCUUAAAAAUGCAAAUUAAAUUGAAAAAAAAAUAGACAAAUAAUUUCGAAAACAAAGGAACGGAAAGAAGAUGACGUUGAGGAAUCGAAUCGAAAAUCGGACGGAAGGAAAAAAACAAAAUUAAAAGGAAAAUGGAACGAGAAGAAGCAAAACGGAGUGCAACACAAGGGCUUCCCAGGAUGUCGCCCAUCCUUACUACUCUCACCCAAGCACGCUUAACUGCGGAGUUCUGAUGG